UUUGGGGUGUGACUGCGUACCUUUUGUAUAAUGGGUCAGCGACUUAUAUUCUGUAGCAAGGUUAACCGUAUAGGGGAGCCGGAGGGAAACCGAGUCUUAACCGGGCGUUAAGUUGCAGGGUAUAGACCCGAAACCCGGUGAUCUAGCCAUGGGCAGGUUGAAGGUUGGGUAACACUAACUGGAGGACCGAACCGACUAAUGUUGAAAAAUUAGCGGAUGACCUGUGGCUGGGGGUGAAAGGCCAAUCAAACCGGGAGAUAGCUGGUUCUCCCCGAAAGCUAUUUAGGUAGCGCCUCGUGAAUUCAUCUCCGGGGGUAGAGCACUGUUUCGGCUAGGGGGCCAUCCCGGCUUACCAACCCGAUGCAAACUGCGAAUACCGGAGAAUGUUAUCACGGGAGACACACGGCGGGUGCUAACGUCCGUCGUGAAGAGGGAAACAACCCAGACCGCCAGCUAAGGUCCCAAAGUCAUGGUUAAGUGGGAAACGAUGUGGGAAGGCCCAGACAGCCAGGAUGUUGGCUUAGAAGCAGCCAUCAUUUAAAGAAAGCGUAAUAGCUCACUGGUCGAGUCGGCCUGCGCGGAAGAUGUAACGGGGCUAAACCAUGCACCGAAGCUGCGGCAGCGACGCUGAUGCGUUGUUGGGUAGGGGAGCGUUCUGUAAGCCUGCGAAGGUGGCCUGUGAGGGUUGCUGGAGGUAUCAGAAGUGCGAAUGCUGACAUAAGUAACGAUAAAGCGGGUGAAAAGCCCGCUCGCCGGAAGACCAAGGGUUCCUGUCCAACGUUAAUCGGGGCAGGGUGAGUCGACCCCUAAGGCGAGGCCGAAAGGCGUAGUCGAUGGGAAACGGGUUAAUAUUCCCGUACUUGGUGUUACUGCGAAGGGGGGACGGAGAAGGCUAUGUUGGCCGGGCGACGGUU
rnacentral:rRNA from 1 species